rnacentral:lncRNA from 1 species
UGGUUGAGUGCCCCUGGGUCCAAUCCCAGUACCAAAAAACAAACUAUCUGGAAUAAUAAUGAGCAAAAACAUCUAGUUUGAAGACCUUUAUUAAAUGAUUGUGGGUGUUGCUGCCUAUCUUUUAAAAAUGAAAAAUUCAUUUCAAUAAAACAAAUAUACACUGAAGCUAUUUUCCUUUAUAUUAAAAUAAAUGUGUUCUCAUUUAUUUUUAAUAUUAAUUAUCAUUAAUAUGUAAGAGCAAAUUAUGUCACCACCAAGCUUCAGAUAUCUUAGGAUAUUCUAGACACACUUAAGAUCACCCAGCUCUGUCAGUACCCUUGGGAAUGGGGAUCAGCCUGUCCAUGUUUGUUUCCUGAGCUUCUGCCUUAGAGCUUUUUGUCAUUUUCCAGGGUUUGCUGAAUGGUGUCAGUGGUAUGAGAAGAACGUGAGGCUGUUUCUGUCUCAAUUCCAGCUUAUCUUCAGUGCUUUCUUGAGUCUGUGAAAGGUGUGCUGAUUCUUUCCUCAGAGCCUCCAGUUCCUUUAGUGUCUUGUGCCUGUCUGGAUGGUGCUGGAUCAUUUUUGCCAAAGCAUCAUGCUCUGGGCAGUUUUUUUUGUAUUUGUUUGGCUUGAAGAUUCUGCUUUUGUGCCCAGCAUCUUUUCAUGUGCUCCAGCAAUGCUGCCUUCUGUUCUUUGUAAAAAUUGUUUCCUAAUUUUCCAUUUCUCUGAGAUUCGUGUCGUACACCUGCAGGGUUCUACCCAUUGAAAGUCCACAUUGAGACGGUUGGUUCUGGCUGUGUCCUCCUUCUUGGGGUCCAGAAUUGUAACGUCAGUGAGACUUUUGCUUGCAGACUAACUGUCCAGUCAUCUCCGGCACUAUCUCAUCAUGCAGGAGACGAUUCCAUAGACCUUGGCUGUCCGUCAUGGCACCCACGGUGCACCCCAUUCUCCCCUUCCACAGGCCUCUGCAUUCUCUGGCUUGUGGUCCCCUUCCUCUGUCUUGAGUCAGUAAUGGCCGUUCGGUUUCCUCUCAUGCUUUCGAUCGCUCCUCAGUUUUGUUUUUGUUUUUUUCUUUAAUUAUUGUCUCUCUCACUCACUUUUUCACUUGUGUUCUUUUUUCGAGAUGGUGUCUCACAGUGUUGCCCAGGUAUGAACUCCUGGGCGAAGCCAUCCUGUCGCCUACAUCCUUGAGCAGCUGGGUCUAGAGGCACAUACUACCAAGUCUGCUCCUCUUCUGCUUUCCAAGGUCCACAGGAAUAAUCCAGGAUACAAUCCCCGUUUUAAGGGCAGCUGAUUAGCAACCUUAAACCCAUCUGCAAAUUAAUUUUGCCAUGUAAAAUAACAUAGUCACAGGUUCUGGGGAUUACAGCAGAGAUGUUAGUAUUUAGCUAAUGACUGGAGCACAAGACAAUUCACAGGAUGAAUCCAGUCCAGCAAGCCUGUCCUUCUAAGCCUUUGGCCUCCCCUCCACUUCACACCAGGGAAGAUCUGGCGUCUCUGUCUCACUGACUUCAGGCCACCAGUGAGUCCAGUUCUUCAGCCUUCCGCAACUGAGCAAGAACAUCAAAUUGGAAAUUGUAGUAAAUCACAACAAUGUCAGCCCUGUUGUUAAAUUCCACCCUCCUUGACCUGAGAAUCCAUCUCACACAUUUUCCAGUUUCCCACUGAUGCAUUAAUGGCAGUCUUGAAAUUUCUCCAUGUGAAGUCAUUUUCUCUCCCCGAGAAGCUGAGAUGUAACCUAGUUAUGGGUCUAGCAGCCUUAGGUAGAGGUCAUGUGGCUCUUGCUGAGAAUGGGCAUGUGCCCCAGGUGAGUUUCUUGCGGGUUUUCAAGCAGAGCAGGGAUAGUUUUCUCAGACCCUGAAGAGCAAACUACUGCUGGCAAGAGAGACUCAGAGUGCCUUGGGAACUCAUUUCAUCUGGGUCCAACCAGAUAUUCCCAUUGAGUUUCAGUGUACCAUUUUUACCAAUUGUUUUAAUUUUCACACAAGGAACUUAAGACUUAGCAAGGCUGUCACAAUUGAUGUAAAUCAGCCCCCUGUUCAACUGAGAUUUUUUUUUUUUUGUACUGGGGAUUGAAUCCAGGGGUGUUUAUCACCAAACUACAGCCCCAGUCCUUUUUAUUUUGAGACAGGAUCUCACUAAGUUGCCCAGGUUGGCCUAGAGCUUACAAUCCUCUGUCUCAGGCUCCAGAGUUGCUGGGAUCACAGGACAGCAUCACCCACCCCGUGACAUAAGCAUCUUCACAAUGCUUGGCUGUCACCAGCAGCCAGUGCCCAGUGGAGCACCUUAGAGGAAGGGGUCACCUUGUCCCCUCUUUAGUAAGACUCUGUGGUCUCUAGGG